UACUAUUUUAAUUAAAACAAUUUGUUUCAAAUGGGGCUCCCAAAUCCCCACAUGAUGUUUUAGGAGCCUUGGGCAAAGAACAGAAAAUGGAGAGGAGCAAUUGUUUUUAGGGCUAAGAGUGAAGCUGAAUGUAGGAGUUUGGGAUUCACGAGCAAUUUCUGAGGCCCAACCUCACAGCUGAAGAAAUGAAUCCUCCAACGCUGAAGCUGUGAGAAGCAACGGUUUUCUGGAGAAGAAAAAGAAAGCGCCAAGAAAAGGAGCUUUGGGCGCUUAAAUGCUACAGCAACGCACUUUGGAAGCGGGAGGGAGCAGCCAGAGCCAUGCAUGUGCCAUUUGUGCUUCCUGCACGUGCCGAGCCGGUCGCUGUGCCACGUCUCAGUUCCUGAGGGUUUUGUGUCUGCUGCCAGCUGUGCUCAGGGCUCCUGCUGCAUGCUGGAGCAAGUCCUUCGUCAGGCAUCGAGGGGAAGUUUCCAUACCUGGUGCUGGGCCCCGAUGCCUGGUGUUCUGGAUUCACCAUGCACCAGCACAACGAUCAGCCGCUUCAUUCCAAGCACCCGCCUGCCUGCAAAACGUCCUUGCUCUGCGCUGAUGGCAGCCUCUGUGGUAGUUCUGGGAAGCUGAUGCUCGCACGUGUGCCAGGGACUGGCUGGUGACUGCAAACAGAAUUCCCUUCUGGACCAAGCCACCGACGAGCUGGGUCUGCUGCAGCUCCGGCUGCACAGUGGCUACAUCAAAGUUCAGGGAAGGAAGACUGCCCGCGUGGUUGGUGGCUAAGGGCAGGUUUGCAAGUAACUGACACAUGCAGACAUAGUUAAGAAUGGAACAAGUAGCCUUCAGAGACUACUAAAUAAGA